GGGGAUCAUCGAGAAGCUAAGAUGUUACCCGGUAGAAUCUUCCUAAAAUGAAAAUGAGCCUCAUAUCGAUACCUUGCCUAGCCAUGAGUAAAGCUCUGUAAGUCAGCAUUGAGGAGAAAUAA
rnacentral:snoRNA from 1 species